rnacentral:rRNA from 1 species
UGGGGAAUAUUGGACAAUGGGCGCAAGCCUGAUCCAGCCAUGCCGCGUGAGUGAUGAAGGCCUUAGGGUUGUAAUGCUCUUUUGGCGGGGACGAUAAUGACGGUACCCGCAGAAUAAGCCCCGGCUAACUUCGUGCCAGCAGCCGCGGUAAUACGAAGGGGGCUAGCGUUGUUCGGAAUUACUGGGCGUAAAGCGCACGUAGGCGGAUCAGCAAGUCAGGGGUGAAAUCCCGGGGCUCAACCUCGGAACUGCCUCUGAUACUGCUGGUCUGGAGUCCGGAAGAGGUGGGUGGAAUUCCUAGUGUAGAGGUGAAAUUCGCAGAUAUUAGGAAGAACACCGGUGGCGAAGGCGGCCCACUGGUCCGGUACUGACGCUGAGGUGCGAAAGCGUGGGGAGCAAACAGGAUUAGAUACCCCCGUAGCCCCUGAGCGGGCUGGCAAGGCGCAU